CCAAACUUGGUGGUGUAAAAUACCACCAAUCAUUUUAUUAUUAACUCCCACAAGUUUGGGAAGUUGCCUGAGCUCACUUAGGCGGUAUUCACUCAGAGUGUCUCACACACUUGCUGUCAGACAAUGGUUGACACUCAAAUAUUCUGAAUGCUUGAUGCUCACGUGGCUGGCAUGUGGGCUGGGACCACUCAAACAGCUGGAAUUUGGAACUUCUAGGGACCCUAGGAAUGCUUCUUUGUCUCUGUGUGGUCUCUUCAGCAUAGCAACAGCAGCGUAGCUGAACAUCUUACGGAUGGCCCAGGGCUCCAAAGGCUCGUUUCCUAAGUGAGAGAGAGCCUGGCUGAAGCUGUAUUACCAUUCAUUCUCCAGCCUCCGAAGUCUCAAAGCAUCACUUCCACCAUACUCUAACUGUCAAGACAAACACAAAGGCCCAGAAACUGCCAGACUGUCUUCUGAAGUGGCUAUAAUAUUUACACUCCCAUCAGCAGUGUAGAAGGGGUCUCACUAUGUUGUCUGGAGUGCUGUGGUGGAGUGGAGUGGCUAUUCACAGAGCCUGUUCUGCUGGGACACAGAAUCACUUGCUCCAUCUCAUACAUUGAUGAUGAUUAAUUUGUAUGUGUACCUUCCAAAAAAGAUGGUUGUGUUUGAAUGGAGGCCUUCUGGACAGGAAAAUAUGGAGAGUGCGUGCUUUGGAUUCAAGACUGGGAAUGAGGGGACCAGAAACCUAUUCUGUGGCUGUUUCUUGUUAGGACUUUCCUAAGCCUCUGGAAAAGUGCAAAGUACAAUUAACAUUUGAGUCUGUCUGAGUCAUGAAGAAAUGGAGAUUACUGAAAAUAAUUCAUUUUGGUAUCUUCUUACAUCCUGAGAGACUAAUCUUUCCAAGUUCAUCUGAGGCUCCUCUUCUCCAUGACAACCUCAUCCAGGGAUUUCUUCCUGUCCUGGUGUUUUAUGACAUGUGGAAGGGGACUGUAGCAGGUGAUCUCCAAAGUCUCUGGAGACUUACUAAUGUGCAUCCUCAUCUCGCUUGUAAGGAUAAUAGCCUUCCUCCAAACCUCACACACUUUUGGAGGAGAUCACUUUUUUUAAAGUGCAUGGAAAUGUUUUGAAACAGUGAAAUCUAUAAUGAUAGGUUUCAUAAUUCUAACAUCCACACCAUAUGAAUCACAUCCUUCCUGAGAUAAUGAGCACACAAUUGCCUGGAUACCUGAAGGAAUGGAGACAGCGGCAGAAAACACUGCAGAGAGGUGGAAACAUCCGUUAAUAUUUUAAAAUCCCAUUACUGCUACCAACAAUAAUAAUGGAUGCAUAGAAAUAGAUCUGGAUUAGCUGAGCUUGAAACAGUCCAUCUCACACACACACAAAAGAAUUUCAGAUACAGUGAACCCACAUGUUGAAGCUUUCUAGUAUAAUAAAAAUUUCAACUGUUCUGUUGAAUCAUCUGCCUGAUUGGAGGCUACAGAAAAGAUGUCAUCUUAG
rnacentral:lncRNA from 1 species